CUACGUGCCAGCAGCCGCGGUAAUACGGAAGGUCCAGGCGUUAUCCGGAUUUAUUGGGUUUAAAGGGAGCGUAGGCUGGAGAUUAAGUGUGUUGUGAAAUGUAGACGCUCAACGUCUGAAUUGCAGCGCAUACUGGUUUCCUUGAGUACGCACAACGUUGGCGGAAUUCGUCGUGUAGCGGUGAAAUGCUUAGAUAUGACGAAGAACUCCGAUUGCGAAGGCAGCUGACGGGAGCGCAACUGACGCUGAAGCUCGAAGGUGCGGGUAUCGAACAGGAUUAGAUACCCUGGUAGUCCGCACAGUAAACGAUGGAUGCCCGUUGUUAGUUCACUUUAGAAUUAGCGACCAAGCGAAAGCAUUAAGCAUCCCACCUGGGGAGUACGCCGGCAACGGUGAAACUCAAAGGAAUUGACGGGGGCCCGCACAAGCGGAGGAACAUGUGGUUUAAUUCGAUGAUACGCGAGGAACCUUACCCGGGCUUGAA
rnacentral:rRNA from 1 species